GCGCCAAGAGAAAGAGUCAGUUAGUUGGGUUUUCUAUCUGCUCUGACUGUUUGUUGUGUGUGUUUAAAACUCUCUCAAGUGUGAGUGAGAAGUCAAAUCAGAAAGUGGGCCCCGCAUAUCUAAAUGAUGGAUAGCUAAUGAUGGAUAGCAGCAUCCAUUACCCGUAGCCGUGUUUUUUGUGUUGGCCAAACAACAAUGCAUGUUAGUAGCUGGUUUUAGCUGUAUUUUUGCUUAGAAGGCCUUCAAAAUACUGAAUACUAAAUACACUUUUUAGUAUGCAUUAUACAACAAAAUUUGUGCGUCGUGUGUUAUUUAUUAGCCUGCUCGAGGUCAUUAAAUGGAAUAAAGUCAAUCUAUCAUCUCUAUGUUGAGACAUGGCUCUACCAAUAUCAACACAACCUUUCCAUAAAUCGGAAACAUCCGAGAUGGAAUUCAAAUAGCUGCUAGCAGAAGAUUCUGAAAACUUUAAAAACUGAAGAUGGCUGUAUACUUAAGGGAGAAAAUCAAAAAUUUCAACAUCUUUCUUUGUACUGGACAAUCAAGGAUUAAUCAAGGAUUCUAUCCUGCGGACUGCUCAAAUCUCAAAUCUAUUCAACACGCUCUUGAAUAUAAAGAUGAGCACAUUACCUUUAGCAGUGAUAACUUCCUUCUCCUAUACCACUACAAUUAUAUAUUACUGGACUUAAAACGAAAACAAACUUCAUUUGCUUUGGUUACCCGAACACAUUAAUAUAAUCGGGAAUUAACUUAAGCUUCAAUGACUUUCUCAACAAGACAACAGGCGGCCCAUCGUUAAUAUUUUGAAUACUAUCGAAUCAGAGAUUUCGCAGUCUUAAAAACAAGACAAACUCUUGGUGCAAAUUCUUCAACCCAAUCAAAAAUUAAGUCGAGUAAUUGAAAAUGAAUUUUGAAAUAUAUGUAAGAUGAUAUAAGUAUCGAAAUCAUAAUAUAAGUUGAUUGAUGAUUGUGAGCCCAAAUAAUAAACGAUUUAAGUCAAGUUUAUUUAGAAUCUAGAUCUGGCGAAUCUAAAAGAA